UACUUCAGCAGAUAUUCAUAAAUGUCUGACCAAAGCCGAUCUUGGAAGCUAAGCAGGAGAAAGCUUGAUUAAUAAUUUAAUGGGAGCUCUCCAAGAAAUCUCAGGGCUGGCUGAAGGAC
rnacentral:rRNA from 1 species